AUUGAACGCUGGCGGCAUGCCUAACACAUGCAAGUCGAGCGAGCGGCGGACGGGUGGGUAAUGUCUGGGAAACUGCCUGAUGGAGGGGGAUAACUACUGGAAACGGUAGCUAAUACCGCAUACCCUCAGAUUUGCCCAGAUGUGAUUAGCUAGUAGGUGUGGUAACGGCUAACCUAGGCGACGAUCCCUAGCUGGUCUGAGAGGAUGACCAGCCACACAGGAACUGAGACACGGUCCAGACGCCUACGGGAGGCAGCAGGGGUGAAUAUUGCGAAAUGGGCGAAAGCCUUACUCAGCAAUGCCGCGUGUGCGAAGAAGGCCUUCGGGUUGUAAAUCACUGUCAGCGGGGAGGCGUUACCCGCAGAAGAAGCAACGGCGAACUCCGUGCCAGCAGACGCGGUAAUUC
rnacentral:rRNA from 1 species